GUAAUUUUACUUGAUUAUUAGCAAAUAUACAUGAUUGAAAAUUCAGUUUCGUUUUGUGUUGCAACAGAUUUGGAAAUACAUGACUGCAUUUUCGUGGAUACUGACAAUGGAUCGGGAUACUUUUCCUAUUUGUUUGUUUAUUUCUAUAAUUGCGGUUUCUUGACAAAUAACGCAUAGCAACCAGAACAGUGUUGCCUAAAAAUAUUAAUUUUAUCAUUAUCAAGGGGUCGCUAUAUUUGUCGUAACUGACGGAAAAUCACUCACAGACACAUUUUAUUCCAAUUUUUCUUCGGAGUGCCUGGUCGUGUCGUCGCUUGAACUAUGUUGUUGUGUAUGAGAUAUGGGUUUAACAGUUUAUUUACCUAUAGAUCAGUUUUGGAGAGCACUUUUGGAAACACACUGAAAUGUUACUUAAGAAAAACUAUCAUGGGAACCGACAAAUGCAAAACUGAUUUCCUAGCACAGAUUAAUCAGACGCUAGCAAUGUUCUUAAAACGGGCAGAAUGGUUAUGUAAUUCUCAAGCGAAUCAUUGUCUCCAAUAAUAUCCACAUCCGUUUUGAAACCAAUUUAUAAGAAUCAAAUGCCUAUUGAUUUUUCUGCAAUUAGCAGUUCAAUGGAAAUCGUUCAAAUGCUAGGCUGACUCACGGAUUCGUCAUUCCUCGCCGGCAGACCAACGGAAUCGGUCUCCAAAGUGAUAUGGAAUGUUCUCAAUCCAACUGCAUGUUCCACUGUCUAGUCUGUUUUGGUUGCCGCUAGCUCAACAUUUGGUUGCGAUCGCCAUAUUUAAGGCUAUUCAUGAAAGUGUACCGGGAUAUGAUCGGUUGGAAAUGACCGAUUGAUAUAUAUGCGAAUGAGGUAACGAAAAUUGGUGGCUGUAUUAUUAAGUCACAGUCAUCUUAGCAAUUCGACUCCGACAGUUUACUUGGAUGAUCUGAUUCGUGAUUUCAAUUCGAGAAUGGGUACAAAUCUUCCACAUUUGAGAUAUGAACAAAUUCUGACGCAAAUUCUGAAGUUGAAGGACUUUUUAAUUAAGUUCGAUGCGAGGAUUUGCAUUGUUUGUAUGUACUCUACUUUAGAUACUGGCUUCAUCAAGAUAAACUAGUCACGGUCAAGAAUGAGGAAGGAUUUGAAAUCACCGGUUUAAUCAAGAGCAUUAAUGAGUACUGAUAUUUGCUUGUGGAAGUGGACAAACACGUGAAGCCGAUUUGAAUUCAUCCUGAUGGAAACAGUUUCGAUAUGAUGAAAAAAGGUUGAUAAUUCCAAAAAACUGAUCAAGUUUAGAUUUGAUACUGUAAUCUAAUAUUGUAAAUCAUUUGUU